ACUUAAAUAGCUUAUAUUAGAGCAUAAUAUUGAAGAUAUUAGUGAGAUUUAUAAAAUCUUUAAGUG
rnacentral:tRNA from 1 species